rnacentral:tRNA from 1 species
UGCCGGGUGGUGUAGUGGUAACAUACCUACCUACAUGGUAGGGGUUGGGGGUUCGAUUCCUCCCCUGGCAA